AAAAAUUAAACUUAAAAAAUUGAUAAGACAUACACAUAAAAAAUUAUGGCAAUGAGCACCAUAAAGAUUAGUGUCGUUGUGAUGUUAAUGAUUAUGUUCAUUGCAAUACAAGUGGAAUGCAUCCCUCAAUCUCAAGAAUAUGGAUCAACCAAGUUGGCAGAACCCUUUUGUGAAAUAAAGUGUGACCUAAAAUGUAUCGGAAAUCGGUUGAGAGAUGAUUUUGAGAAGUGUGUGAAAAAAUGCCAAAGUGAAUGCUAGCAAAAUCAUCCUUAACACAUGCCAUGGUUUGUGCAUGUCGUGGAUACAUAUAUUGCUUUGUGUUCUGAGAGUUUAAAUAAUAUUAAAUAAGUUAUUCAUAUAUAUUGUGAAACUCUACGUGAGAAAACGUAUCACGAAACCUAAAUAAAUAUUUUAACUCUUAAUGCCUAUUUUCUAUUAUUUA